rnacentral:lncRNA from 1 species
GGUGCGCAUGCUCUGUGGAGGCCCGCACAGGCCCUGAGUGAACUCUGAUAGAGCCUUCGCAAGGCGAGCCCCAGAUUCGCAAUGAAGAGCCCCACGCCACAUGAAAUGUGAGCAAGUCCACCCACCUCAUCUACCCUGGCGGCCAGUUCCUCGUUGGACCAGAUCCCUUCUAUCAUAAGCUCCUCCUCAGCACAUGGUUAUUACUGGAAUGCUGGUGGUUUGGGCAACUCUUUUUCUGGUGAGAUGGUGCAGUGGGAAGGGACAUUGACUAUUUGAAGAGCAAACAACCAAGAUAAAAUCUUAAAAGCAGGCAGAGAGAAAAGAUACAGAAGACUCACACUGACUUCUCAAGUGAAACAAUGGAAGCCAAAAGACAAUAAAGUAAUAUCUUCAAAGCCCUGAAAGAGAAUAACUACGAGUGGAAGUCUAUGCAAGCACAGAUAUCCUUCCAAAAUAAAGAGGAAAUAAAUACACUUUUAGAAAAACAACGCUUGAGAAAUCUCAUCACCAGCUGACCUGCACAAAAGGAAAUCCUAAAGGGUGUUCUUCAGGCAGAAGGAAAAUAAACUCAAAUGUAAUCUGGGAGAUGCAGGAAGGAAUGAAGAACAAUAGAAAAGGUACAUCCCACUUCCAGCGGGUUGUCCCUCGGUGCUGGCUUGGCUUCUUGGGAAAAGAGUGAAGAAUCAGAGCCUACACGCUGCUGCUGAGCUCCACAGCCUCCAUCUUGCCUCCUCCUGUUUAGACGAUGCGGGUCCUAGUUCUGGGAAGCCCUUCCACCGGNGGACCGUGUGAGCUGUUGUGUCCACAGUAGCCUGGAAAGGGUGAGGGCAAAGGGCUGGGGGACCGGUCAGAAGGCACCUACCACAAUCCAGGUAGGAGGUGACAGUGCUGCAGCCAGGCUGCACGGCGAAGGAUGGGAGGGGCCCCCGGAGAAACCUGAAUCAGGUACCACAGUAACGGGGAACGUGGAGGAGGGCGUGAUUCACUCCAAGGCCGCUUUCCCAGGGGAUGUGACUCAGGCAGGAUUUUGAAAAAUGAGCAGUUCAGCAGGCACUCAAGAGGGUGAGAACAUUCCAACACCGGUGUGCCGGGGCCCCAUUGAGAGGGAGCCAGGCCUGUUUGGGGACCUAUGAAGCAGCAUCACAUCAGAGCAGAAGGGUCAGGGGAGGCCAGAUGGGGAAGGAGCUCGCCGCUCUGCCAAGGGUGUUGUCCUCUGGGCGCCAGGGAGUUCAGGAAGAAUUUUAAGCCUGGGGGCCGGUGGUGCUUAAGACCUAAAACUUGCUAUUAAGAAAAGUCCCGUGGUCACCAUGAACGGCCUGGGGGGAGGUGGCAGGGAAAACCCAGAGGGGAAGCAGAAAAUGAGGGCUGACCCCGGGGCAGUGGGAGAGAGGGAAGGAGGCAUGAGAACCGUUUAGGGAGAAGAGAGGACCAGGGCCGUGUGGGUUUGGGGAAAGAGGAGCAGGCUGUUUUGAGGAAGAGAAUGAGUCAUGUGGGGGCCGGCUGAAUUGGAGGAUCCACUGGGGGAUCAGACAGCCAAGCCCCAGAGCAGCCGAUGUUGGAGUCUGGAGCUCAGCGGAGGGGACUUGGGUCCAGAAGCCUCAAGGGACAGGUGGCAUUUAAGCUGUGGAAGGCCACCAGCUAAAAGGCAUCUCCAGAUUUUUACCUUUAGUAAGAUCUGAAUAGAGGUAUAUUUCCCUCCUCUUUGCCUCUUUCCCAAGGCCUUUGAGAGAUACAGUGAGAAAAACAUUCUUGAGGGUAAAGAGGAGGGAUCCAGGAGGGGAUCCUCCUAGGGCAGCACGGAGGAAUCCCUGGGCUGGUCCCACUUCACCCCACGGUGUCUGCGGGCAGAGGGGCCUGGAUAGGCAGGGCUCUUGGUAUCCAUUGUCCGUGGGUCUCUGCAUGCAGAUAUGUAAAGUUAUGUGUUUUCAUCUCCCCGUGAUUCCUGUUUUCCUGCAGCCCUUCCCGCUGAGGCGUAUUGCCCAAUGAAGUUGGAGGGGUGAAUUCGAAGCAAGACCUCAAGCAGGGGGUGAAGCGGACAUGAUGUAGAGAAGCUGCUGCUGAUGGCAAUGGGACCAGAAAAGGGGGGCCUAAGGGAGAACAUGAGAAGCAAAAAGGGCAGCCCCUUAACCUUCAACCUCAGAGGCUCGUGAGGGAGAAACCCAGUCAGGUCUGAGGGGAGAUCUCACAGCAAGGGGGUGGGUGGGACUUGACUCAGAUUGCAGUGGGGAGAAAUUUUAAUGACACCCCCUCCCUAGCAAACCAGCGAUGCAAGAUGGUGCCAGCACAAUAUGGUGCCAGUCAGGAGGUGGUUUGGAAUGGCUGAGGAAGGGAGUCUGGGAAGUGGCUUCAUGCAACGCUGCUCGUUCUAGUGAGAAUGCAGCCAGGUAGUCCUAGGUCCCAGGGGCCGCAGAGCCAAGAUCUGCCUCACCAGCUAUGUGCAGGGACCAUGCACUUUGGCUUCACCUCUUCCUGCCCCUACCCCACCAGCAAGCCCCAGGGACCAGAACCAUCUCUGUCCUGCGUGUGUGUGUGUGUGUGUGUGUGUGUGUGUGUGUGUAAGAAUGCAGGGGACUCCACUCAGACCUUCAACCCUCUUGUCCCACCACCGUGAGGCCCAUGAACAUCUCUCUGCACCAGGAAAUUAUCUUGGCUGGGAGAAGGCGGAAGGGUGAGAAAACCUUGGAAUACUGAGCAAUUUUACUCAAAAGAGACUGAGUUAAUCAUACAGAAAUGGAGCUAUGUCUAAGGGGCAAUUUAAUGGUUUCUUUUUGUUUGUUUUCUUUUUGCCCGUCAGUAGUAGGAAUUAUCAGAUCACGAUGAGAAGAGUAUAAGAAAAAGUAAGAACAAUACUGAUUUGACCCAUCUGGGUAGGUGUGUGUGUGUGAUCUUUAGCCCUCCCACAAUUAUGUCUGUACACGUUUGCUGGGGCAACUGUAUAUUUUCAAUUCCAAUCGUCAGACCUUUCCUUGAAGCUCACGUGUGUUUUGAUCUGGCCAGGAAUUGAGAAUCAUAAAAUCAUUAAAUCUGUAUUAAUUACCUAUUGCUGCAUAGUAAGUUAAUCCAAAAUUUAGCUGAAAUAAAUAUGUAUUAUCUCACA